AGCGUUAGCCCUUCGUCGGAGCAUUUACUAAAGUUUACUUUUACUAAACCUGUUGUAGUGGACUCCCAACUUCCCUCCAACCACAAGUUGUCCACCCACUAGCUGAGCUGUGGUAGGGCAUGAACCUGAAUGUCAAUGUUGCAACAAUGUUGUGCAAAUCCAAGCAGAUAUAUAGGUAGAUCAUCUUGUAACAGUUAACUAUCCAAGACAUUGCUGGUGAGAAAGAACUAAGCAGGAAUAAAAUGGAAGAGAGAGAUUUCAUGCAACACAUAUGCAUUGUAAAACUUUUCACAAUGGAAGAAUACACUGCUGGCAUCUACCUGUUAAUAUGCUUGGCAUUUGUGUAAUAAGCAGUGACUCUUAGAUCAGACAACAGUCACCAACUUAUUUUAGAUUGGUAAUAGAUUUCGGUAAAAUAUGGAAUCUGAUGGGAAAUAAAUAUUCAUUUACCUUUU